rnacentral:tRNA from 1 species
AAGAUAGUAAUUUAUGUUAAUAAAAUAUAUAAUUUGCAAUUAUAAAAAGUCAAAGUCAACCUAUCUAG